rnacentral:rRNA from 1 species
GACGAACGCUGGCGGCGUGCUUAACACAUGCAAGUCGAGCGGUAAGGCCCUUUCGGGGGUACACGAGCGGCGAACGGGUGAGUAACACGUGGGUGACCUGCCCUCAGCUCUGGGAUAAGCCUGGGAAACCGGGUCUAAUACCGGAUAUGACUCCAUGACGCAUGUUGUGGGGUGGAAAGCCUUGUGCGGCUGAGGAUGGGCCCGCGGCCUAUCAGCUUGUUGGUGGGGUGAUGGCCUACCAAGGCGACGACGGGUAGCCGGCCUGAGAGGGCGACCGGCCACACUGGGACUGAGACGCGGCCCAGACUCCUACGGGAGGCAGCAGUGGGGAAUCUUGCGCAAUGGG